UAGGUAGCUUAACCUUCGGGAGGGCGCUUACCACAUUGUGAUUCAUGACUGGGGUGAAGUCGUAACAAGGUAACCGUAGGGGAACCUGCGGUUGGAUCACCUCCUUACCUUAAAGAA
rnacentral:rRNA from 1 species